UACGUAGGGGGCGAGCGUUGUCCGGAAUUAUUGGGCGUAAAGAGCGUGUAGGCGGUUUGGUAAGUCUGCUGUGAAAUCCUGGGGCUCAACCCUGGGCGUGCCGUGGAUACUGCCGGGCUAGAGGGUGGGAGAGGCGAGUGGAAUUCCGAGUGUAGCGGUGAAAUGCGCAGAUAUUCGGAGGAACACCAGUAGCGAAGGCGGCUCGCUGGGCCGCACCUGACGCUGAGGCGCGAAAGCGUGGGGAGCGAACAGG
rnacentral:rRNA from 1 species